GCGCUGGUGGGUUCGAGGUCCUCAGGAGACAGAACCCGCGCGUCGGGAGGAUAAAUACGAUACAAACCGCUGGAGGCACAAGCCAAACGGCCCCCCGAACCCAGCGCGGGCGUGACCAUGGCCUUUGUGCGGGGAGCCGCGCAGAGCCGGCCCGCGUGGGGCACACGUUUGCACGCAGGAUCCUGCCGGCCGAGAGAGGAACACAGCUCAUGUGGUGGAGAAGAAACAGGGAAACUCUGAAAUUAAUUAAAAGAUUCUCCAAAGCAAUCCGUUUCCCUUUAGGCCCGAGGUAUGACAACCAACCCAAUCCCUCCCUAUCAGCCCCCUCACUUUAAUUUUUACGAUGUCAAUUUUCAUUACUAUUAAUUAUUUGCUGAGCUCCAACUGUACAUCCGGUGUUGCCCUGAUUACCAAGAAGCUUGCGGGUGCUUGUG